rnacentral:piRNA from 1 species
UCUAAGGUAUAUUACCAGAAACACGAUUGGU